AGCAUCGGUAUCACAUGUAUAACCUGUGCAACCCAGCCUGGGGUCAGGAACCUUUGAGUGUUUGUGUGCAAGAGCAAGACAUGGAUGUGUAUCCAUCCAUCCUUCCAUCCCUCCACCCAGAGUAUUCCUAUAGUACUAAAAAAAAUAGUGAUGUUUCAAUAGCAGCACCUCCCAACCCUCCAGACCACUUCUGUUCAGCCCAACAGCCUCAAAGACGGAGCUACCGCCAAGCUACCGCGAGGCGUAACAAGUUCAAGGCCCCCGCUCCAGCCCGAGGCGGCAGACGGGUAAACAGUUGUUACUGGGUGAUUUUUUUUUUCCGCAGAGCCCAGACAAAGCCUCUCUGUGUGAGGAACAACAGCUACAGCUGGGCCGAGCAGAGUGAGACAUCGAUCCAUAAGCUCGUUCCUCCGCACCCCCUCCGAGCGCUCAUCUGGCAGUCAGCAGGAAGCAGCAGCGCAUGCCAGAGCUGGGCACUGCACUGCCACAAAAAAAAAGAAAGAAAAAAAAAUCUUCUUAACCAGCCGUUUAAUCAGAAGCUGAGUCUUCAAACCAUAUAUCUGGAAAAGGGACACGGCUAAAAUAAAUAUCUGCUGUCAGCAGCCUGUGAGGGAAGGCAGGUAAAGCUGCACUGGAAUGUUUUUUUUAAAUUCCAGAGACAAACAAAUGUCAAAAAUGAGAAGAGACGACCAUUUUUAAUGUCCGUUCCCCCUCCCCGUUUCCUGCUCCUCUCAUUUACAAUAACACAUUUAAAACAAAGACGCUAAAUAGCAAAUGAAAAUCAUACAAACUUUUAAUGUCUUUCUGUAAAACUUACAUUUUCGUGUACAUAAAUUUAAAUGCACCUAUCCCCUCGCAAUCACACUGGUCAUGAAGAGCCCCAGUAAAAAGUAUCAAAGAGAAGAGACAAGAGACGGGCGUUUAAUCUAAUCUAUGUUCUAAUAGUUGGAGAGACAUUAAUUAUUGAUAAGGCUGGCAAUUGAUUGGUUAAUAAGAUAAUGUAAUUGAGAAAUGAAAAUCAUCAGAGUUGGGCGUGCGUGUGUGUGUCGGCUCCAAUCGGAGUCGCACGGGAGGGUUUUGUGUGUGUGUGUGUGUGUCUUAGGGGAUUGCCCCUACAUAGGCUUCCAUCAUUACUGCCACACUAUAAAAGCAGAGUGGUGAUUAAAAGGACUUGAUUGAUUUGG
ensembl:lncRNA